rnacentral:lncRNA from 1 species
UGAGAGAGGUGAAGAUUGAUUUUAUAGAGUGAUGAGAGUUAGGAAAAAUUCUCUUAUUUUUGUGAGUUUAUGCAGGUUGUUAUUCUGUUAUUUGGUGCUUGGAUUCGGCUGGCGUGUGUUUAGCAUUUUGAAGCUUGAAGUGUUGGUUUGUGUACUUGCGUUUCGCGUUUUGCUUUGCGGUUUACCUGCUUGGAAGCGUUAGCUGCGUUUCAAUGUGAAUUUGCAAGUUGUUUGGCUU